rnacentral:rRNA from 1 species
AUUGAACGCUGGCGGCAGGCCUAACACAUGCAAGUCGAGCGGCAGCACGGGUACUUGUACCUGGUGGCGAGCGGCGGACGGGUGAGUAAUGCCUAGGAAUCUGCCUAGUAGUGGGGGAGUAACGUUCGGAAACGGACGCUAAUACCGCAUACGUCCUACGGGAGGAAAGUAGGGGAGUCUUCGGACCUCACGCUAUUAGAUGAGCCUAGGUCGGAUUAGCUAGUUGGUAGGGUAAAGGACCGACCAAGGCUACGAUCCGUAACUGGUCUGAGAGGAUGAUCAGUCACACUGGAACUGAGACACGGUCCAGACUCCUACGGGAGGCAGCAGUGGGGAA